AGCUUACGGUGCUCCGUUGAUACGGGGAGAAUAGGGAAGCGGGUGAGAAUCCCGCGCGAUCCCGUCACUGUGAUAGAGCGUACCGGUCCGGUAUGCCACUGGGUAUAACAGAAAGCCCGGGAAGGCGGAACGGUAUGUCAGGCUCUUAAGCCAGGAGACCUGCCGGAGCUU
rnacentral:ncRNA from 1 species